UCUUAAAAUUCUUUUAUCAUUGGUCUCAAACCCAACAUAAUUAUGAGUUUGACAUAAGAACUGAAAUGCUACCAACAAUGGAAGUCUGCAAGAAGUAAAAAAGAAAUGGAAGGACAACAAUAUAGAAGCCAUACCAAGUUAAAUUAAUGAUACUAGGAUCCUCCAAAGAGCUGCCUUUACAUACAUAGAUCAUUACUUAUUAGCAAGGUCUAGGUAAGAUGCAGAAAUGGUAGAAGAGAGCUCUACUGGAUUAGGACCUUUGCCACCAUUAUGUACAUUUGACAGUCAUUGAGAAGCUAUAUGUCUUGCUUAGGCUUCCGACUUACCUCGGAAUACUGACCACCCAUCAACUGCAAUAUCUCUCCCCACAAACUCUCUGAUGAUGAAGUUUGUGAACCUGCAAAAAUCAGAUUUGAACUACAUGAGGCAACGUACCAAUAACCGGACUCAAUCUCUUCCCUCAACUGGUCAAGUAGAUUUGAACUACAUGAGGCAACAUACCAAUAACCGGAUUCAAUCUCUUCCCUCAACUGGUCAAGCUGCCACCCCGCAUAGCCAACGAAGAAUCUGAAAUCUUGUGGCUUAAGCACCCCUU
rnacentral:lncRNA from 1 species